CUCUUCUUGUAUUAUUAUUGGAAGUAUAGCCUGCCCACUGAUGUAAAUUUUUAAAGGGCCGCGGUAUUUUGACCGUGCAAAGGUAGCAUAAUCAUUAGUCUUUUAAUUGGGGACUGGAAUGAAUGGUUGGACGAGAAAUAGACUGUUUCUUAAGAAUUAAAUUUGAAUUUAAAAUUUAAGUUAAAAUGCUUAAAUUUUUUUAUGGGACGAGAAGACCCUAUAGAGUUUAAUAAAUUCUAUGAUUAUUUUGUUUGAAUUUUAAUAAGUGUUAGUAUUGUAGAAUUUAUUUUGUUGGGGUGAUAGAAAGAAUUAAUAAACUCUUUUUUUUAUUUAUAUAUUUAUUUAUAAUUUUUUGAUCCAUUUUUGUUGAUUAUAAGACUAAAUUACC
rnacentral:rRNA from 1 species